GGGAAAGGGAGGAGGGUUCUUCUGAGGCAGCAGGGCUUCAGGCCUAGUCUGCAGGAGGCUUAUGGACACACACACAUAACACACACAACACACAGAAGGCAAAGCCUCAGCCUCAAGCAACACACUGCAUUGUGGUGGCUUCCACACCAUUGUGUGAGUGACACACUCCUUAGCUUCCCUCCUGGCAGCUGAGGGGAACAGAUUGUUUCACUGACACACACAACACACACACACACAUUAUUGACACACACACAUAUAUAACACACACAGCAAGGACUCCACCUCAGAAGCAACACUGCAUUGUGGUGGCUUCCACACCAUUGUGUAGGUGACACACUCCUUGGCUUCCCUCUUGGCAGGUGAGGGAAACUAAUGGUAUUAUUGAUACACAUACACAACACACACAACUAGACCACAGGCUCAGAAGUGCUACGCUGUUGUUGUGGUGACUUCCUCACCAUUGUGUUUGGUGACUCCUUGGCCUCCCUUCUGGCAAGAGAAACAAAUGGCAUCAUUGAUACACAUACACAACACACACAGAUACACCAAGGCCUUGUGUCAUUAUUGACACACACAUACACACACACACGGCAGGGCCUCUGCCUCAGAAGCAACCCACUGACUUAUGGUGGCUCCUUUGCCAUUGUGUUGGUGACACUCCUUGGCUUCACUUUGGAACGUUUCCAAUAUGGACCUUUGCUGCUGGAAGCCUAGACUGACCACACAGCCUCUGAUCCAUUCCUUAUCAAAGGGAAAGAAAAUAGGGUUUUGGGGAUCCUACAAAAGUCCAGGAAGAGGAGAAAGUUAGAUACAUCAAUCUUAAACCUAUCGCUAUGUGAGGAAUGCACAUUAGAGUCAAGACUGCUCCAUGAUGCUGGGCAAACUAAAAACAGGACAAUAAAACCCUCAAUGCAAGUAUCGCACAACAUUUGGGAUCUGGAUAUCAUCAGGACCAUCCAUGGACUCAUUGUUAUGUUCAGAAGUUCAUCUGAAGCCCUGCUCCAUAUUCUGCCAGUAACCAAGGCAUUGUGAGUGGGUAAGCAAGGUCUUCUCAUUCUCUGAACGUUUUGUCCCAGAACAUCCCUCCCUCUCUGCCUUUAGAAACCAGAGUAAGGUGCUGUUAUUUCAUCAUCAUCAUCAACAUCAUCAUUACUUAUACCUCGCUCUUUGGCCAAGGCAUGCUCUUAGACUGUAAUAACUGGUCCUCUUACAAGGACCUGUUCCUGGUUUGGUGGCUCACUUCCAAAUUUUGCUCUAUGGUUUGAAAUUAUGAAUUCUACGUUUUUAAUCUGCUUCUGUGUCUGAUUAUUUUGUGAGCAGCCUCAAACCUCCGCAAA